GAUGAACGCUGGCGGCGUGCCUAAUACAUGCAAGUCGAGCGAACGGACGAGAAGCUUGCUUCUCUGAUGUUAGCGGCGGACGGGUGAGUAACACGUGGAUAACCUACCUAUAAGACUGGGAUAACUUCGGGAAACCGGAGCUAAUACCGGAUAAUAUUUUGAACCGCAUGGUUCAAAAGUGAAAGACGGUCUUGCUGUCACUUAUAGAUGGAUCCGCGCUGCAUUAGCUAGUUGGUAAGGUAACGGCUUACCAAGGCAACGAUGCAUAGCCGACCUGAGAGGGUGAUCGGCCACACUGGAACUGAGACACGGUCCAGACUCCUACGGGAGGCAGCAGUAGGGAAUCUUCCGCAAUGGGCGAAAGCCUGACGGAGCAACGCCGCGUGAGUGAUGAAGGUCUUCGGAUCGUAAAACUCUGUUAUUAGGGAAGAACAUAUGUGUAAGUAACUGUGCACAUCUUGACGGUACCUAAUCAGAAAGCCACGGCUAACUACGUGCCAGCAGCCGCGGUAAUACGUAGGUGGCAAGCGUUAUCCGGAAUUAUUGGGCGUAAAGCGCGCGUAGGCGGUUUUUUAAGUCUGAUGUGAAAGCCCACGGCUCAACCGUGGAGGGUCAUUGGAAACUGGAAAACUUGAGUGCAGAAGAGGAAAGUGGAAUUCCAUGUGUAGCGGUGAAAUGCGCAGAGAUAUGGAGGAACACCAGUGGCGAAGGCGACUUUCUGGUCUGUAACUGACGCUGAUGUGCGAAAGCGUGGGGAUCAAACAGGAUUAGAUACCCUGGUAGUCCACGCCGUAAACGAUGAGUGCUAAGUGUUAGGGGGUUUCCGCCCCUUAGUGCUGCAGCUAACGCAUUAAGCACUCCGCCUGGGGAGUACGACCGCAAGGUUGAAACUCAAAGGAAUUGACGGGGACCCGCACAAGCGGUGGAGCAUGUGGUUUAAUUCGAAGCAACGCGAAGAACCUUACCAAAUCUUGACAUCCUUUGACAACUCUAGAGAUAGAGCCUUCCCCUUCGGGGGACAAAGUGACAGGUGGUGUAUGGUUGUCGUCAGCUCGUGUCGUGAGAUGUUGGGUUAAGUCCCGCAACGAGCGCAACCCUUAAGCUUAGUUGCCAUCAUUAAGUUGGGCACUCUAAGUUGACUGCCGGUGACAAACCGGAGGAAGGUGGGGAUGACGUCAAAUCAUCAUGCCCCUUAUGAUUUGGGCUACACACGUGCUACAAUGGACAAUACAAAGGGCAGCGAAACCGCGAGGUCAAGCAAAUCCCAUAAAGUUGUUCUCAGUUCGGAUUGUAGUCUGCAACUCGACUACAUGAAGCUGGAAUCGCUAGUAAUCGUAGAUCAGCAUGCUACGGUGAAUACGUUCCCGGGUCU
rnacentral:rRNA from 1 species